CUCUCCAUAGCUCAGUGGUAGAGCAUUUGACUGUAGAAUGAUUGCUGUUAUCGAGGGGCCGUCGGUUCGACUCCGGCUGGGGAGA
rnacentral:tRNA from 1 species